UACGGAGGGUGCAAGCGUUGUUCGGAAUUACUGGGCGUAAAGGGCGCGUAGGUGGUUGUGUAAGUCGGAUGUGAAAUACCCAGGCUCAACUUGGGAACCGCAUCUGAUACUGCAUGACUAGAGUACUGCAGAGGGAAACGGAAUUCCUGGUGUAGAGGUGAAAUUCGUAGAUAUCAGGAGGAACACCGGUGGCGAAGGCGGUUUCCUGGGCAGAUACUGACACUGAGGCGCGAAAGCGUGGGUAGCAAACAGG
rnacentral:rRNA from 1 species